rnacentral:rRNA from 1 species
AUUGAACGCUGGCGGCAGGCCUAACACAUGCAAGUCGAACGGUAACAGAAAGCAGCUUGCUGCUUUGCUGACGAGUGGCGGACGUGUGAGUAAUGUCUGGGAAACUUCCUGAUGGAGGGGGAUAACUACUGGAAACGGUAGCUAAUACCGCAUAACGUCGCAAGACCAAAGAGGGGGACCUUCGGGCCUCUUGCCCUCGGAUGUGCCCAGAUGGGAUUAGCUAGUAGGUGGGGUAACGGCUCACCUAGGCGACGAUCCCUAGCUGGUCUGAGAGGAUGACCAGCCACACUGGAACUGAGACACGGUCCAGACUCCUACGGGAGGCAGCAGUGGGGAAUAUUGCACAAUGGGCGCAAGCCUGAUGCAGCCAUGCCGCGUGUAUGAAGAAGGCCUUCGGAUUGUAAAGUACUUUCAGCGGGGAGGAAGGGAAUAAAGUUAAUACCUUGGCUCAUUGACGUUACCCGCAGAAGAAGCACCGGCUAACUCCGUG